rnacentral:rRNA from 1 species
GACGAACGCUGGCGGCGUGCCUAAUACAUGCAAGUCGAACGCAGUGGGGCCGGGUUAGUAACACGUGGGUAACCUCCCAUCAGAGGGGAUAACACUUGGAAACAGGUGCUAAACCGAUACUGUUGGCUGGACCCGCGGUGCAUUAGCUAGUUGGUGAGGUAACGGCUCACAAGGGACACGAGGCAUAGCGGCCCGGGGGGGGUGGUGGGCCAAACUGGGAUGGGGACACGGCCAAGACUCUAACGGAGGGCAGCGGAGGGAAAUCUUCGGCAAGGGACGAAGGUCUGACCGGGAAACGCGGGGUGAGGGAAGAGGGUUUUGGGAUCGAAAAACUCUGUUGUAGGGGAAGCGGUAUCUAACAAGAAAGCCACGGCUAACUACGUGCCAGCGGCCGCGUUAAUA